rnacentral:rRNA from 1 species
UCCUACGGGAGGCAGCAGUGGGGAAUAUUGGACAAUGGGGGAAAGCCUGAUCCAGCAAUGCCGCGUGUGUGAUGAAGGUCUUCGGAUUGUAAAGCUCUUUCGACGGGGACGAUGAUGACGGUACCCGUAGAAGAAGCACAGGCUACUUUG